rnacentral:rRNA from 1 species
UACGGGGGGGGUAAGCGUUGUUCGGAAUUACUGGGCGUAAAGGGCUCGUAGGCGGCCAACUAAGUCAGACGUGAAAUCCCUCAGCUUAACUGGGGAACUGCGUCUGAUACUGGAUGGCUUGGAUUCGGGAGAGGAAUGCGGAAUUCCAGGUGUAGCGGUGAAAUGCGUAGAUAUCAGGAAGAACACCCGUGGCUAAGGCGGCUCUCUAGUACGGUACUGACGCUGAGACGCGAAAGCGUGGGGAGCGAACAGG